GCUUAUCUCUGGAUGACUGCAGCUU
rnacentral:piRNA from 1 species